UGGGCCGUAGCCAAGCGGUAAGGCAACGGGUUUUGGUCUCGUCAUGCGAAGGUUCGAAUCCUUCCGGCCCAG
rnacentral:tRNA from 2 species